CGGGCAGCGGCGGGGCCGGCGUGCUUGCUCGGGGCGAGCGGCGGGGCCGAGGAGAAAGUUGCUGCUGCAGGGUAACGCACCCCGUCGUGACCAAGGUGAAGUUUCUUUGGAGAAGAAAAGCCCA